rnacentral:lncRNA from 1 species
UAAAUUUUCAAAUUUGAAACAUGAGGUUCACCCAGCGUUUUAAAUAUCGUAUUACACGAGAUUUGGUGAUGGAAUCUGUUUCUCUAUUGAUUUUCAAACAAUACACAGGCAAACUUAUUCCUUUCUAUGUGACGUCAUCAGGCAUGGUGGCCUUUUUUCAUGCUAUCACAAUAAGUAAUUCAGAGGAACAAGAAAAUUCAACAUCAUAAUUGGAUUUUAACCAAUGCAGAACUGUGAUCAAACGAACAACACAUUGAUUAAGUUUUGUUUUUAAAAUGG